UACGUAGGGUGCGAGCGUUAAUCGGAAUUACUGGGCGUAAAGCGUGCGCAGGCGGCGCGUUAAGACAGGUGUGAAAGCCCCGAGCUUAACUUGGGAAUUGCGCUUGUGACUGGCGUGCUGGAGUGUGGCAGAGGGAGGUGGAAGUUCCGACGUGUAGCAGUGAAAUGCGUAGAGAUGUGGAGGAAUACCGAUGGCGAAGGCAGCCCCCUGGGAUAACACUGACGCUCAUGCACGAAAGCGUGGGGAGCAAACAGG
rnacentral:rRNA from 1 species